UGGACCAGUGAUGACGACAGGGGAUGGGUGAGUCAUGGGUGAUGAGCAGUAUGCGUCUGGGUAUCUGAGGUCCAA
ensembl:snoRNA